CUUCUGAGCCGAAUACAGUCUGGAGGGAGGGUGGCUCUCCAAAUGGAAACCACAGUGAACUUCCACAAUCCCAUGGUGACCCUGCAGCCCCAGGACCAGGCGCUGAACUUCCCUCCUCGUUUCUUGUUCUCCCUUCCUGGCUGGAAGUGCCCUGCUCUUUAGCCGGAUUCACCUGACCAGCCACGUGAGGCCAGGAGUGUCACCGUCCUAUGAUCACCGAGGAGGCCUCGCGGCUCAGUCUACCAACCGGAUGAGUGGGGACAGCAAUCCGGCGGGCUGGUUUCUGACAUGAAACUACGGAGGCAGUGUUUUAUUUUCGCAAAUAAAAUGCUCCUUCUUGACUUUCUAU